UACGGAGGGGGCUAGCGUUGUUCGGAAUUACUGGGCGUAAAGGGUGCGCAGGCGGCCUUUUAAGUCAGGGGUGAAAGCCCUGAGCUUAACCCCGGAACUGCCUUUGAGACUGAAAGGCUAGAGACCGAGAGAGGAGAGCGGAAUUCCCAGUGUAGAGGUGAAAUUCGUAGAUAUUGGGAAGAACACCGGUGGCGAAGGCGGCUCACUGGCUCGGUUCUGACGCUGAGGAGCGAAAGCGUGGGGAGCAAACAGG
rnacentral:rRNA from 1 species